UACGGGGGGGGCAAGCGUUGUUCGGAAUUACGGGGCGUAAAGGGCUCGUAGGCGGCCAACUAAGUCAGACGUGAAAUCCCUCGGCUUAACCGGGGAACUGCGUCUGAUACUGGAUGGCUUGAAUCCGGGAGAGGGAUGCGGAAUUCCAGGUGUAGCGGUGAAAUGCGUAGAUAUCUGGAGGAACACCGGUGGCGAAGGCGGCAUCCUGGACCGGCAUUGACGCUGAGGAGCGAAAGCCAGGGGAGCAAACGGG
rnacentral:rRNA from 1 species